AGUGAACGCUGGCGGUAGGCCUAACACAUGCAAGUCGAACGGCAGCACAGUAAGAGCUUGCUCUUACGGGUGGCGAGUGGCGGACGGGUGAGGAAUACAUCGGAAUCUACUUUUUCGUGGGGGAUAACGUAGGGGAAACUAACGCUAAAACGGAACACGACCUACGGGGGAAAGCAGGGAAUCUUCGGACCUUGGGGGAUGGACUGGCCGGUUGUCGGAUUAGUUAGUUGGUGGGGUAAAGGCCCACCAAGGCGAGGAACCGUAGCUGGUCGGAGAGGAUGAUCAGCCACACGGGAACGGAGACACGGUCCAGACUCCUACGGGAGGCAGCAGUGGGGAAUAUUGGACAAUGGGCGCAAGCCUGAUCCAGCCAUACCGCGUGGGUGAAGAAGGCCUUCGGGUUGUAAAGCCCUUUUGUUGGGAAAGAAAAGCAGCAGGUUAAUACCCCGCUGUUCUGACGGUACCCAAAGAAUAAGCACCGGCUAACUUCGUG
rnacentral:rRNA from 1 species